UCUAUCAAGAAUUAAAAUCCAAGUAGAGAAUGUAAAUCCAAGAAUUAAAAUUUUCAAUUUCCAAAUGUUUGAGUUUUCUGUUCUAUUCUGUUAUUAUUAAUUUUUUCGAUCAAAUAAGUAGUAUCUUGUUUUUGGAAUAUUUCUGAUAAUAGUAAACAUGGUAAUGAAAUCUUACCUGUGCUCAAGGAGUUGUAAUAAAAUAAAAUCAUCAAGAGUACCAAUAGGUGUUCUUCAAACAAUUUUGCAAGUGUCGUUUUGGUAAAAAAUGGCCAGGGAAAUGCUCAAAGAAAAGAAGCUGCAAAUAUCAAUCCGGGACACGAAAAAGAUGACAGAUACAAAAAGAACGCAAUUGAAGUAGCAGCAGAUGAUGAUGACCUCAGUGAAGAAGGGCCUGAAACAGAAUCAAGAAUCAGUUGAAGUUCCCGAUCCAGAUUUUUAUUACUUCUAUAGGGAUAAGAGUGAACAAUGUUUAGCAGGUGAUCAGAUAUGGGCCAUUCAUGACAAUUUAGAUGCCACGCCCAUACUCUAUGCACUAAUCAGAAAAUUUUAUUCACCUUUUGAGGCAAAGUUCAUUUGGUUGGACUUUGUUCCUGAUAGCCAAGAUGAGACAGCUUGGGAUACUAGUGGGUUGCCCGUUGCUUGUUGGAAGUUUGAACAUGGUGAUAGUGAUAACCAAGUAACCAACCUUGAAGGUAUCGGUACGUUUUCUCAUAGGAUUAUAUUGGAAAAGGAUGGCAAAAAUACUUAAAAGAUCUAUCCUAAAAAAGUUGUAAUUUCGCCAUCUACAAGAACCGAAACACUAAAGUAUGAGUAUGAAUUUGUGGAGGUCCUGUCAGAUUAUAAGAGGAUAUAGGAAUUAUGGUUUCCAAAUUAAUUAAGAUAAAAGGUUUCGUGCGCAUAUUCCAGCCGGUUUCCAUAGCCAAUGGCAUGGCUAUAAUCCAGAUUCUGUCUGAUGAACUUUUAAGAUUCUCGCACAUUACCUCGUUUAGAAUGAAAAGAUGUCCUUGAAGGUUACUUUGAACUUGAUGCUGCUUCCCUGCCCAGUACUAUCGAAGUUUCUGAGCGAGUUCCUUCUUCCACUUCAAACCCUUGUCAACUUCGGGAGUCUGAAAUAUAUGAUAUUUAACAUCGAUAAAUCUCAUGAUAAGUUUCGACCUGGUUAGAUAUGGGCUCUGAUGAAAAACAAGGAACGUUGCAUUGAUUUUGGAAGUUUUUUAUUUUUAUUUUUAUUGCAGAAAUGUUAAAGUUGAUUAAAAAAAAGAACGUUACAAGAA